rnacentral:rRNA from 1 species
UACGUAGGGUGCGAGCGUUGUCCGGAAUUAUUGGGCGUAAAGGGCUCGUAGGCGGUCUGUCACGUCGGGAGUGAAAACUCAGGGCUUAACCCUGAGCCUGCUUCCGAUACGGGCAGACUAGAGGUAUGCAGGGGAGAACGGAAUUCCUGGUGUAGCGGUGAAAUGCGCAGAUAUCAGGAGGAACACCGGUGGCGAAGGCGGGUCUCUGGGCAACUACUGACGCUGAGGAGCGAAAGCGUGGGGAGCGAACAGG